AUGAUUCUCGACAACAGAUAUCUUAGCUCUUGCAUCGAUGAAAAACGUAGUGAAAUGCGAUACUUGGUGUGAAUUGCAGAAUCCCAUGAACCAUUGAGUCUUUGAACGCAAGUUGCGCCUGAAGCCAUUAGGCGAAGGGCACACCUGCCUGGGUGUCAUGCACCGUCGCCCCCCCUCCAACCCCCUACCCGUCGAGCUCCGGGGGAAGGGGACGAGCGGAAGAUGGCCUCUCAUGAUCCCAUCGAUCGCGGUUGGCCCAAAAGUGAGUCCUCGACAAUGACAGUACCGUGAUCAUCGGUGGUAGAGCUCCCGACGUGCCUCGUCCCCGAUGACGCAUGCUCGUUGUCCAUCCGGACCCCGUCGGACCCCCCGCAUCGCUCGAUCAAUGCUCACAUCGUGACCCCAGGUCAGGUGGGAUCACCCGCUGAGUUUAGGCAUAUCAAUAAGCAGAGGAAAAGAAACUUACCAGAAUUCCCUUAGUAACGGUGAACGAACCGAGAAGAGCCCAGCUUGAGAAUCAGGCACCCUCGAUGUUCGAAUUAUAGUCUGGAGAAGCAUCCUCAACGAUGGAUCGAGCCCAAAUCCCUUGGAAAGGGGCAUCGAAGAGGGUGUGAGCGCCGUUGUGCUCGGACCCUGUCGCAUCAGGAGGCGCUAUCCGUGAGUCGAGUUGUUUGGGAAUGCAGCCCCAAUCGGGCGGUAAAUUCCAUCCACGGCUGAAUACGGGUGAUAGACCGAUAACGAACAAGUACCACGAGGGAAAGAUGAAAAGGACUUUGAAAAGAGAGUCAAAGAGUGCUUGAAAUUAUUGAGAGGGAAGCGGAUGGGGGCUGGCGAUGCGCCCUGAUCGGAUGUGGAAGAAUGAGAGUCGAUCGAUCGAUCGACUUGGGGCGUGGACAGACGCGAGUCACGACGAUGGCCCAAGCUCGGGCUUUCGAUGUGCCCACGGAGACAUCAUCACCUUGAUCGUGGAAUGCAGCACGCACAAUCUCGGCGUGCCUCGACACCCGUGCUCCCAGCGUCGGUCGCGAGCUCCCCAUUCGGCCCGUCUUGAAUCAUGACCAAAGAGUCUGACAUUCGUGCAAGUCAACAGGCAAGGAAACCCGUAAGGUGCAAGAAAGCUGAUUGGCGGGAUCCUUUAUGGGUGCACCGUCGAUCGACUUUAAUCUUUUGAAAAGGGUUUGAGUGCGAGCAUGCCCGUCGAGACCCGAAAGAUGGUGAACUAUGCUUGAGCGGGGCGAAGCCAGAGGAAACUCUGAUAGAGGCCUGCAGUGAUACUGACAUGCAAAUCAUUCGUCUAACUUGGGUAUAGGGGUAAAAGACUAAUCGAACCAUCUAGUAGCUGGUUCCCUUCGAAGUUUCCCUCAGGAUAGCUGAAGCCCCCAUCGAGUUCUAUCAGGUAAAGCCAAUGAUUAGAGGCAUCGGGGGCGCAACACCCUCGACCUAUUCUCAAACUUUAAAUAGGUAGGACGGCACGGCUACUUCGUUGAGCAACACCACGAAAUCGAGAGCUCCAAGUGGACCAUUUUUGGCAAGCAAAACUGACGAUGCAGGAUAAAUCAGAAGCUGGGUUACGAUGCCCAACUGCGCGCUAACCUAGAACCCAUAAAGGGUGUUGGUCGAUUAAGACAAUAGGACGGUGGUGAUGGAAGUCAAAAUUCGCCAAAGAGUGUGUAACAACUCACCUAUCGAAUCAACUAGCCCCAAAAAUGGAUGGCACUUAAGCGCGUGACCUAUACCCAAUCGUCGAGGUAAGGGCCAGGCCUCGAUUAGUAGGAGGGCAUGACGAUCAUUGUAAAACCCAGGGCACGAGCCCGGGUGGAGCGACCGUCGAUGCAGAUCUUGGUGGUAGUAACAAAUAUUCAAAUUAGAACUUUGAAGUCUGAAAAGGGGAAAAGUUCCAUGUGAAUGGCAGUUGCACAUGGGUUAGUCGAUCCUAAGAGACGAGGGAAGCCCAUUCGACAGUGCGUCCCACGUGAGCUUCGAAAGGGAUUCGGGUUAAAAUUCUUGAACUAAGACGCGACGGCUGAAGGCAACGUUAGGGAGUCCGAAAAUGUCAAUGAGGGCCUUGAAAAGAGUUAUCUUUUUUGUUUAACGGCCAGCCCACCCUAGAAAUGACUCAGUCAGAGUAGGGUCCAGUGGCCGGAAGAGCACCGCACAUCACAUGGUGUCCGGUGCACCCCCGGUGACCCUUGAAAAUCCAGAGGAUCGAGUAUCUUCCAUGCUCGAUCAUACUCAUAAUCGCAUCAGGUCUCCAAGGUGAACAACCUUUGGUCGAUGGAACAAUGUAGGUAAGGGAAGUCGAUAAAAUGGAUCCGUAACCUCAGGAAAAGGAUUGGCUCUGAGGGCUGGGCACAGGGGUCCCAGUCUCGAAAUCGUCAACUACCGGUGCACUACUCGAGCUACUCCCACGGUGAGAGCGAGUCGUCACGUGUCGACAGAAGGAUGGACUGGGAGCGGCUCCCUCGGGGGCCUUCCCUGGGCAUCAAACAGUCCUCUCAGAAAUGGUACGGACAAGGGUAAUCUGAAUGUUUAAUUAGAAAAAAGCAAGCGCGGGUGAAAAAAUUCAACCAAUGUGAUUUCUGCCCAGUGCUCUGAAUGUCAAAGUGAAGAAAUUCAACCAAGCGCGGGUAAACGGUGGGAUUAACUAUGACUCUCUUAAGGUAGCCAAAUGCCUCAUCAUCUAAUUAGUGACAUGCAUGAAUGGAUUAAUGAGAUUCCCACUGUCGAUCUUUUAGACCUUUUGAAUUUGAAGCUAGAGGUGUCAGAAAAGUUACCACAGGGAUAACUGGCUUGUGGCAGCCAAGCGUUCAUAGUUACGUUGCUUUUUUAUCCUUCGAUGUUGGCUCUUCCUAUCAUUGUGAAGCAAAAUUCACCAAGUGUUGGAUUGUUCACCCACCAAUAGGGAACAUGAGCUGGGUUUAGACCCUCGUGAGAUAGGUUAGUUUUACCCUACUGAUGGUGGCGUCGCGACAGUAAUUUAACCUAGUACGAGAGAAACCAUUGAUUCGCACAAUUGGUCAUCACGCUUGGUUGAAAAGUCAUCAGCUCGCGUUGACUACGUCCCUGCCCUUUAUACACACUGCCGUCGCUCCUACCGAUUGAAUGAUCCAAUGAAGUGUUCAAAUUAUGAUGACGUGGACGGUUCACUGCCCGCGACGUCACGAGAAGUCCACUGAACCUUAUAUUUAGAGGAAGGAGAAGU
rnacentral:rRNA from 1 species